CGCGUAGGCGGACAUGACAGUGUUUUGUGAAAUCCCCGGCUUAACCGGGGAAUUGCGAGACAAACUACAUGUCUUGAGGCAAGCAGGGGUGUGUGGAACUCUUGGUGGAGCGGUGGAAUGCGUAGAUAUCAAGAGGAACGCCGAAGGUGAAGACAGCACACUGGGCUUGUACUGACGCUGAGGCGCGAAAGCGUGGGGAGCAAACA
rnacentral:rRNA from 1 species